rnacentral:lncRNA from 8 species
AUGUAUAUCUAUCUUUAUUUAUCUAUCUCUAUUUCUCUGUAUAUAUCUAUCUCAAUCUCUAUAUAUCUCUAUAUCUAUCCUAUCUCUCGCUAUAUCUAUCUCUCUGUAUAUUUAUAUAUCUAUCCAUCUCUAUCCUUCUCUGUAUCUCUAUAUCAAUGUAUAUCUAUACAUAUAUCUCUCUCUAUAUCUAUAGAUAUCUAUCUCUCUGCAUAUCUAUAUAUCUAUCUAUAUCUAUCUCUCUGUAUAUCUAUCUAUCUCUCGCUAUAUAUCUAUCUAUAUCUCUCUCUAUAUAUAUAUAUCUAUCUAUCUCUAUAUCUAUCUCUAUAUAUCUAUCUAUCUCUAUGUACAUCUAUAUAUAUAUAUAUAUAUAUAUAUAUAUAUAUAUAUAUAUAUAAAUCUCUAUGUACAUCUAUGUAUAUCUAUCUCUAUAUAUCUAUCUCUAUAUAUAUAUAUAUCUAUCUCUAUCUCUAUGUACAUCUAUUAUAUCUAUCUCUAUAUAUCUAUCUAUCUCUUUAUCUAUGUAUAUCUAUCUAUAGCUAUCACUAUCUCUAUAUAUCUAUCUCUAUGUAUAUCUAUAUAUAUAUAUAUAUCUAUCUAAAUCUCUAUUGUACAUCUAUGUAUAUCUAUCUCUAUAUAUCUAUCUCUAUAUAUAUAUAUAUAUAUAUAUAUAUCUCUAUCUCUAUGUACAUCUAUUAUAUCUAUCUCUAUAUAUCUAUCUAUCUCUUUAUCUAUGUAUAUCUAUCUAUAGCUAUCACUAUCUCUAUAUAUCUAUCUCUAUCUCUAUGUAUAUCUAUCGAUAUCUAUCUCUAUAUAUCUAUCUCUAUCUAUAUCUCUCUAUAUCUAUAUAUAUCUAUCUCUAUGUAUAUCUAUCUAUAUCUAUCUCUAUAUAUCUAUCUAUAUAUCUAUCUAUAUCUAUCUCUAUAUAUCUAUCUAUAUCUAUUGCUAUAUAUCUAUAUAUAUAUAUCUAUCUAUCUAUAUAUAUCUAUCUCUAUCUCUUUCUAUAUAUCUCUCUAUAUCUAUCUCUUUCUAUAUAUCUCUCUAUAUCUAUCUCUUUCUAUAUAG